rnacentral:tRNA from 1 species
GAGGGUACAGCUCAGUGGUUGAGUGCUAUGCUUAGCAAGCACAAGGUCCUGGGUUCAAUCUCAGUACCUCCA